GAUGAACGCUGGCGGCGUGCCUAAUACAUGCAAGUCGAGCGAACGGACGAGAAGCUUGCUUCUCUGAUGUUAGCGGCGGACGGGUGAGUAACACGUGGAUAGCCUACCUAUAAGACUGGGAUAACUUCGGGAAACCGUAGCUAAUACCGGAUAAUAUUUUGAACCGCAUGGUUCAAAAGUGAAAGACGGUCUUGCCGUCACUUAUAGAUGGAUCCGCGCUGCAUUAGCUAGUUGGUAAGGUAACGGCUUACCAAGGCAACGAUGCAUAGCCGACCUGAGAGGGUGAUCGGCCACACUGGAACUGAGACACGGUCCAGACUCCUACGGGAGGCAGCAGUAGGGAAUCUUCCGCAAUGGGCGAAAGCCUGACGGAGCAACGCCGCGUGAGUGAUGAAGGUCUUCGGAUCGUAAAACUCUGUUAUUAGGGAAGAACAUAUGUGUAAGUAACUGUGCACAUCUUGACGGUACCUAAUCAGAAAGCCACGGCUAACUACGUG
rnacentral:rRNA from 1 species